CUUGGUCAUUUAGAGGAAGUAAAAGUCGUAACAAGGUUUCCGUAGGUGAACCUGCGGAAGGAUCACUAGUGAUUAAAUCGAGAGUGUCUUCAUUGACCUCUCACCCUUCACAUCCACAUACACCUGUGCACCGUUUGGCUCUUUUAAAAGACGCAAGUCUGCAAAGAGAGUCAUCAAUUUUAUACAUACCCCAGUCUUAUGAAUGUAACAGUUUUAAUAAACAUAAUAAAACUUUUAACAACGGAUCUCUUGGUUCUCGCAUCGAUGAAGAACGCAGCGAAAUGCGAUAAGUAAUGUGAAUUGCAGAAUUCAGUGAAUCAUCGAAUCUUUGAACGCACCUUGCGCUCCUUGGUAUUCCGAGGAGCAUGCCUGUUUGAGUGUCAUGAAACUCUCAACCUUCAACUUUUUUAUUAAGGCUGAAGGCUUGGACUUGAGCGCUGCUGGUUUUCACUAACCGGCUCGCUUGAAAUGAAUUAGCAGAUCCUUUUUGUAAUCGGUUCCACUCGACGUGAUAAGUAUUUCGCCGAGGACGUACGAAAGUAUGGCCGAGAUAAGAGAAGUCUUUUAGAUCCGCUUCUAAUUCUUAGAUCAAGCUUGCUUGACUAAACCCCAUUUUAUGAUCUGGCCUCAAAUCAGGUAGGACUACCCGCUGAACUUAAGCAUAUCAAUAAGCGGAGGA
rnacentral:rRNA from 1 species